AAAAUCACCCAGCCAACCUCUGAACAAUCCAGGCUGUAUUUUGGACCCCCAAACCCACCAGAGAAUCCAAUAAGGGCUACAGACCAUUUCUCUUGAAAAACAAAACUGCUUUUUAUCUGAGAUAUUGGAAUGUUAACAACAACAACAACAACAACAAAACCAAAGGUAGUGAUCAUUCUAAAAUGCAAAACAAUGAACACACUCAAGUUGAUUUUGGAUUUGACUAUACACAUUUCUCAGAAGAGGGAACUUUCCUGUGAGUUAUCCAUGAUAGAAGAACUGGCAGGUAAGAAUUCUU
rnacentral:lncRNA from 1 species